AGGGUUCGAUUAUGGCUCAGGACGAACGCUGGCGGCGUGCCUAACACAUGCAAGUCGAGCGGGGAUUACCGAAGGAAGUCUUCGGAUGGAAUUUGGUAAUUCUAGCGGCGGACGGGUGAGUAACGCGUGAGCAACCUGCCUUUCACAGGGGGAUAACGCAGCGAAAGUUGCACUAAUACCGCGUGAGACCACGCUCUUGACAUGAGAGAGGGGUCAAAGGAGCAAUCCGGUGAAAGAUGGGCUCGCGUCUGAUUAGCUAGUUGGUGAGGUAACGGCCCACCAAGGCGACGAUCAGUAGCCGACCUGAGAGGGUGAUCGGCCACAUUGGAACUGAGAGACGGUCCAA
rnacentral:rRNA from 1 species